CGCCACAGAGAUGACAAUUAGGGACACAAUCACAGGAAGACCAAAGACCUGACAGUGAUAUAAGACUCACAAAUUAGCAUAUAUAUUAUUUUUCAAUCUUGAUACAAGCUUUUGGGAUGGGGUUUUAACUGUAGUGAAAUAUGAUCAGAUAUUACAUGCAUUACAUUUUCUGACAAGUGUAAUGGAAAUCAAAAUCUACCAUAAUAAAUCAGUUGUGUCAAAGUAAAACAGUAAGUAAAAGAGAAAUAACUUGGCCAAUACUGAAAUUAAAUCAACAAAGAAUGAAAUUAAAUCUAUAAAGAACUUGAACUAGAAUUGUAGCACAGUAUAUAUCCAAAUAACAAUAUCAAAAACAAUAAAAAAAUGUCAUGUAUAUUAGCAAUAAUUCAACAAAUACUCAAAUAAAAAUAUAAAUAACUUGAAUAAUAAUAACAGUAAAGCUCACAUGUAGCAUUCUUAUACCAAAACUAAUAUUAUUGUGCUUUUCAGAACCUUGGGUGAUCACAACCAAUACUCUGUUCACAUUAGCUUCAAAAACAAGCCUUCCCUGCCCUAUUAAGUGGCUUGCCUGGACCAACCCACAAGCAAGCCAAGCACCCUCCAACUCAGGAUACAUUUGAUUGGUGGAUGCUGGGACGGUGAAAUCUUAUUGGUGGAUGCUAAGAAAGGUUAAAUCUUGAAUGAUAUCUUACUGACGGAUGUUGGGAUAGACAAAAUCUUAUUGGUGAAUACUAGGUUCAGGCAAAAUCUUAUAGGUGGAUGCUGGGAAAGGUUAAAUCUUGAAUGAUAUCUUACUGGUUGAUACUAGGAUAGGCAAAAUCUUAUUGGUGGAUGCAGAGAAAGGUUAAAUCUUGAAUGAUAUCUUACUGGUUGAUACUAGGAUAGGCAAAAUCUUAUUGGUGGAUGCUGGGAAAGGUUAAAUCUUGAAUGAUAUCUUACUGGUUGAUACUGGGAUAGGCAAAAUCUUAUUGGUGGAUGCUGGGCUGUCAU